rnacentral:lncRNA from 1 species
AAGAGAGACUGGACAGGGUUCUUUGUAAUUGGACCUGGAGGAUUGCUUUUUCUGAGGCAGAAGUAUGUGCUUUACCGGUAGUGGGUUCGGAUCACAGUCCGCUGAUUCUUUCAACCGAAGCUACCAAACUCAGAAAAGGGAAGACCUUUUAUUUCGAAGCAUAUUGGCUGCAGCAUCAGGAAUGUCAAGGAGUCAUCGACACAGCUUGGGCUUCAGCUGGUGCAAAGGGCUAUACCCUGCCAAAAAUGCUACAAUAAAGUCAGUGGGGCUCUUAUGAGGUGGAGUAAAAACACUUUUUCAAAAGCAAGCGAGCAGAUUAACUCCUUACAGCAGUAAAUCUAGAUGUUAACUAACCAGACUACCACUACAAUAGAUCAACAAAAAAUAUCUGAGCUGAAAGGUUUACUCCAUAGUGCAUGGCAGCAGGAAGAACAAUAUUGGGCAAUGAGAUCACGGAUUAAAUGGCUUCGGUGGGAUGAUAAAAACACAAAGUUUCUUCAUGACACUACCAUUCAAAGGCGAAACAGAAAUCGGAUCAGGAUGCUAAUGGAUGCACAACAAAUAUGGGUUCGAGAUGAUCAGCUUCUUAAAGACAUGACUUUGGAAUUUUUUUCUACGAUAUACAAAUCUGAAGGCACUCGUGACUAUGGUCCCAUCCUACAACAAUGUGAGUGUGUUGUGACAGAGGCUAUGAACCAGCAACUUAUUUUUGAUGUUACUCAAGAGGAAAUUCGUACUGCUGUUUUUCAGCUAGGGAAAUCCCAAGCCCCCAGUCCUGACGGUUUUAAUGGCUUAUUUUACCAACAGUUUUUUAAAUUUGGUUUAUUACCCCCUGAUCUCAACAAGACCAUCAUCACUCUCAUACCGAAAGUCCCUAAUCCAGAAUGUCUGGAUCAAUACCGACCCAUUAGCCUUUGUAAUUUCGCAUAUAAGAUUAUUUCCAAGGUGUUAGCCAACAGAUUAAAGCCUUUCUUGCCUGGCAUUAUUUCUAUGGAACAAAGUGCAUUUGUUAGUGGCCGUCAAAUACAAGACAACAUUUUAAUCGUGCAGGAGACUCUACAUCAGCUUAAGACACGAACUAGAAAGAAAAAAAUUCUAGGCUGUGGUCAAGAUGGACAUGUCAAAAGCCUACGACCGUGUUGAGUGGGACUUUCUCAAAGACUACCUAUCCAGGUUAGGUUUUCAUCCUAUUUGGGUUCAACGGACUAUGCAGUGCAUUACUACUGUUUCCUUUAGUGUCAAAUUCAAUGGCACUCAGCUACAAUAUUUCCAACCAUCAAGGGGAAUUCGACAGGGAGAUCAUUUAUCACCUUAUAUCUUUAUUCUAAUGGCAAACAUGUUAAGUACUCUCAUCCAUCAAGCUCUCAAUAUGGGUAAUCUGAAAGGUAUCCAAUUUAACAGAUGGUGCCCUACGUUGACUCACUUGUUCUUUGUCGACGAUGCUAUAUUUUUUUAUAGAUGGAUCAAGACAAGAAUGUCACGAGCUAGCCACUAUUCUCAAUCAGUACUGUAUGGCUACGGGACAGGCAAUCAACCGAAAUAAAUCAGGUAUUUUCUGUAGCAAAGGGUGUCCCUCCCAACUACAGGAUAACUUAGCACAUGAACUUCGAAUUCCGGUCUUAGCUAAAACAGCAAAAUACCUUGGGAUCCCGUCGGACUGGGGCAAAUCUAAACGAGAUAUGUUUGCUUGGAUACUAGGGAAAGUCAAUGCUAAGUUAGAUGGAUGGAAAGAGAGUAUAAUUUCUAAGGGUGGUAAAGAAGUUCUUAUUAAAAGCGUUGUGCAGGCGAUACCUCAAUUUGCUAUGUAAAUCCAUUGAAAAAAAGAUAGCAAGAUUUUGGUGGCAAAAUGAUAGCAGAAAAUCUGGAAUCCAUUGGAAAAGCUGGGAAGUUUUAAAGACUGGAAAACAGAUGGGUGGUCUGGGGUUUCGGGACCUUGUGGCUUUUAAUAAAGCCAUGUUGGGUAAACAGGCUUGGCGUCUCCUAAAUCAGCCUACUUCAUUAUGGGCUAAUCUGUUCAAAGGUCCGUACCUGGGGUUGGCAGAGUAUCAUUACCGGCAGGGAUUCUAUCUUACCUUCGAUUCGAUGGUUUGUGGGCAAUGGAUCUAGCAUCCAAAUUAGAGAAGACCGGUGGCUACCUAACGGCAAAAUAGGAGGAUCUGCUGCUAAACAGGAACCUCAAAAGGUAUCUAAGCUGAUUGAUUCUAAUACUCACCUAUGGAAUCUCAGUUUACUGAAUCGUUUGUUUGAUAGUAAUACCAUCGCAAAAAUUAUCAAGAUUCCUAUUAGACCUAGCUUUGCAUUUGACAAAAUUAUUUGGCCUUGUACAUCUCAAGGAAAUUAUACUGUUAAAAGUGCUUAUUCUGUUCUCAGCCAGGUUAGUCUCUGCAAUCCUAUAUUUAAGCCAUCUUCCUCUUAUCAGCCACCUGACCUCUUAUGGAGGAAAAUAUGGAAACUCCAAAUACCUCCCAAAGUUAAAUUUUUCAUUUGGUCGUUUUGCCAGAAUGCCCUCCCCACUAGGGCUAAGCUUUUUCGCCGAAAACUCUGCCCCGAUCCCAUAUGCACCCUAUGUUCAACCCAAUAACCCGAAACAUCAGAGCACCUAUUUUUAUUAUGUCCUUGGACUUCCCAGGUCUGGUCCCACCCCCAAAUCAGCUAUCCCAUUCAACUAGCAGAAAUUACGCGCAUCGAAGACUGGCUAGCUAACAUACUUGCUAUUAAACAAUAGUUACCUGGAUCUGAGCUCAUCACCACACUACUGUGGAAUAUCUAGAAGUCCCGCAAUAGGUUUAUCUUUCGCCAUCAGACUCCUGCUCCAUCCUAUGUCAUGGCUGAAGCUCAA